GGCAGUGGUAGCUCAGUGGUUAGUGUUGGACUACCAGUCAGAAGGUCAUGAGUUCAAAUCCCAGCACUGCCA